CAAAAAAAAUCGGUUUAGUACUCGUUUAGUUUUAACGGCGGACUCCAACGCAAACUGUUUCUCUCUUCUACUACAUAUACGUAGGCAAAUGAAUUAGAUAGAUGAAUUAAUUGAAGGAGUGAUCAGGCAAAUGAAUCGAUUGAAGAGAAAUUGGAGGAAUAAAAUAGGUAUAAAAGAGGCUAUACAUUGAGGCGCAAACACCAACAGUUGACACCUCUUCAUCACCAGAAACACGCCGGGAAGGUGUUCGACAAAAUUCUCAAACCAACUCUCUUUGCCUGGUUGCACGUUAUUCAUUUCUUAACUGCGGCAAUAACUCUUAAUAGUGUGAUUGUUCUUUUCUCAUAGAUUAGGGAUGAAGGAGAAGUGUCCCAAUGCUUUGUCGAUGCUUGGGAGCUUAGAGCUUCAAAAUGAUGAUUGGGUCGAGGCAAAUGACAGAUUCCAGGCUGCCAAAAAAGCAAGUGAUGAAAAUGAUUCUUUUAAUUCUAGCAUAGCUGCCGUGAAAAUUGAUCUGAACCUAUGUGUACCAGCAACUUGGUGAGUGAGUGGGCUUGGUCAAUUGAAUUUCUUCGUGAAACACCAAAACUAUGGUUUGUAUUAUUGAUUUUUCAUUUUUCAAGUGAUUGUUAGUUAUCUAUGUUGACAGUGGGAUUUCAUGUUAAUAUUUGUUUCCUAACUAGAAUAAUUUGUUAGGGUUGUAUUAGAAAAAUUGGGCAAGAAGAUGAACAGUAGCAGUGAUUUGAGUUU